ACUCCGUCUACCCAGUGUUUAGACUAUCUGUUCAGGACUCCCAGAUUGUACAGUAGUCUGCACAUUGGUUAGGCUGGGCU
rnacentral:pre_miRNA from 1 species